rnacentral:rRNA from 1 species
AAUAGAUACCCGGGUAGUCCACGCCGUAAACGAUGAGUACUAGUUAUUGGAGGUAUUGACUCCUUCAGUGACGCAGCUAACGCAUUAAGUACUCCGCCUGGGAAGUACGGUCGCAAGACUAAAACUCAAACAAAUUGACGGGGGCCCGCACAAGCGGUGGAUUAUGUGGUUUAAUUCGAAGCAACGCGCAGAACCUUACCUAGGCUUGAACUCCUACGAAUCCGGGGUAAUGCCUGGAGUGUCCGCAAGGAAACGUAGUGAGAGGUGCUGCAUGGCUGUCGUCAGCUCGUGUUGUGAAAUGUUGGGUUAAGUCUCGCAACGAGCGCAACCCCUAUCGUCUGUUGCCAGCAUUAAGUUGGGCACUCUGACGAGACUGCCUGGGUUAACCAGGAGGAAGGUGGGGAUGACGUCAAGUCCUCAUGGCCCUUAUGUCUAGGGCUACACACGUAAUACAAUGGCGCGUACAAAGGGAAGCGAACUCGCAAGGGGAAGCAAAUCUCAAAAAGCGCGCCUCAGUUCGGAUUGGAGU